GACGAACGCUGGCGGCGUGCUUAACACAUGCAAGUCGAACGGAAAGGCCCUGCUUUUGUGGGGUGCUCGAGUGGCGAACGGGUGAGCAACACGUGAGUAACCUGCCCUUGACUUUGGGAUAACUUCAGGAAACUGGGGCUAAUACCGGAUAGGAGCUCCUGCUGCAUGGUGGGGGUUGGAAAGUUUCGGCGGUUGGGGAUGGACUCGCGGCUUAUCAGCUUGUUGGUGGGGUAGUGGCUUACCAAGGCUUUGACGGGUAGCCGGCCUGAGAGGGUGACCGGCCACAUUGGGACUGAGAUACGGCCCAGACUCCUACGGGAGGCAGCAGUGGGGAAUAUUGCACAAUGGGCGGAAGCCUGAUGCAGCCACGCCGCGUGCGGGAUGACGGCCUUCGGGUUGUAAACCGCUUUCGCCUGUGACGAAGCGUGAGUGACGGUAAUGGGUAAAGAAGCACCGGCUAACUACGUG
rnacentral:rRNA from 1 species